rnacentral:rRNA from 1 species
UCCUUCCCCACGAUCAUAUGCAUGCAGUCGAGCGAACAGACAAGGAGCUUGCUCCUUUGACGUUAGCGGCGGACGGGUGAGUAACACGUGGGUAACCUACCUAUAAGACUGGGAUAACUUCGGGAAACCGGAGCUAAUACCGGAUAAUAUUUCGAACCGCAUGGUUCGAUAGUGAAAGAUGGUUUUGCUAUCACUUAUAGAUGGACCCGCGCCGUAUUAGCUAGUUGGUAAGGUAACGGCUUACCAAGGCGACGAUACGUAGCCGACCUGAGAGGGUGAUCGGCCACACUGGAACUGAGACACGGUCCAGACUCCUACGGGAGGCAGCAGUAGGGAAUCUUCCGCAAUGGGCGAAAGCCUGACGGAGCAACGCCGCGUGAGUGAUGAAGGUCUUCGGAUCGUAAAACUCUGUUAUUAGGGAAGAACAUACGUGUAAGUAACUAUGCACGUCUUGACGGUACCUAAUCAGAAAGCCACGGCUAACUACGUGCCAGCAGCCGCGGUAAUACGUAGGUGGCAAGCGUUAUCCGGAAUUAUUGGGCGUAAAGCGCGCGUAGGCGGUUUUUUAAGUCUGAUGUGAAAGCCCACGGCUCAACCGUGGAGGGUCAUUGGAAACUGUAAAACUUGAGUGCAGAAGAGGAAAGUGGAAUUCCAUGUGUAGCGGUGAAAUGCGCAGAGAUAUGGAGGAACACCAGUGGCGAAGGCGACUUUCUGGUCUGUAACUGACGCUGAUGUGCGAAAGCGUGGGGAUCAAACAGGAUUAGAUACCCUGGUAGUCCACGCCGUAAACGAUGAGUGCUAAGUGUUAGGGGGUUUCCGCCCCUUAGUGCUGCAGCUAACGCAUUAAGCACUCCGCCUGGGGAGUACGACCGCAAGGUUGAAACUCAAAGGAAUUGACGGGACCCGCACAAGCGGUGAGCAUGUGUUUUAAUUCGAAGCAACGCGAAAAACCUUACAAAUCUGACAUCCUUUGACAACUUCUAGAAAAUAAGAGCUUCCCCUCGGGGACAAAGUGGACAGGUGGUGCAUGUGUCGGUCAGCUCGUGUCGUGAAGAUGUUGGUUAGUCCGCACCGAGCGCAUCUAAGCUAGUGCAAUCAUAGUUGCACUCUAGUUGACUCGCGUACAAACGGAGAGGUGGGAUGACGCAAUCUCUUAUGCCUUAGGAUGACUAACGUCUCAAUGCAUACAGGACCGACUCGAGGUCA